rnacentral:rRNA from 1 species
UUGUCAGCAAUGGCAAGUUCACUGGCGCACGGGUGAGUAACGCGUAGGCAAUCUGCCUCGGGGAGGGGGAUAACCCGCCGAAAGGCGGGCUAAUACCGCAUAAAGCAAGGGGGCCGCAUGGCCCAUUUGCCAAAGGGGAAACCUGCCUCGGGAUGAGCCUGCGUCGCAUUAGCUAGUUGGUGGGGUAACGGCCCACCAAGGCGAUGAUGCGUAGCUGGUCUGAGAGGAUGAUCAGCCACACUGGCACUGAGACACGGGCCAGACUCCUACGGGAGGCAGCAGUGAGGAAUAUUGCGCAAUGGGGGAGACCCUGACGCAGCCACGCCGCGUGCAGGAAGAAGGUCCUCUGGAUUGUAAACUGCUUUUAUCCGGGAAGAACGGGUGGGAUUCGUCCUGCCGUGACGGUACCGGGUGAAUAAGCACCGGCUAACUCCGUGCCAGCAGCCGCGGUAAUACGGAGGGUGCGAGCGUUGUCCGGAAUCAUUGGGUGUAAAGGGUGCGUAGGCGGGUUCUUAAGUCUGGGGUGAAAGUCUGCGGCUCAACCGUAGGAUUGCCUUGGAUACUGGGAGUCUUGAGGGUGACAGAGGCCGGUAGAAUUCGUGGUGUAGCGGUGAAAUGCAUAGAUAUCACGAAGAAUACCAGUGGCGUAGGCGGCCGGCUGGGUCACGACUGACGCUGAGGCACGAGAGCGUGGGGAGCAAACAGGAUUAGAUACCCUGGUAGUCCACGCCGUANACGUUGUAUGCUAGGUGUCGGGCCGCUUUCGGGCGGUUCGGUGCUGCAGCUCACGCAUUAAGCAUACCACCUGGGGAGUACG